rnacentral:rRNA from 1 species
UACGGAGGGUGCGAGCGUUACCCGGAUUUACUGGGCGUAAAGGGCGCGUAGGCGGCCUGUUAAGUCCGAUGCUAAAGACCAGGGCUCAACCCUGGGAAUGCGUUGGAUACUGGCGGGCUCGACGGCUGGAGAGGGUAGCGGAAUUCUCGGAGUAGCGGUGAAAUGCGCAGAUACCGAGAGGAACGCCAAUAGCGAAGGCAGCUACCUGGACGGCACGUGACGCUGAGGCGCGAAAGCGUGGGGAGCAAACCGG